rnacentral:rRNA from 1 species
GAAUAUUGGGCAAUGGGUGAGAGCCUGACCCAGCCAUGCCGCGUGCAGGAAGAAGGCGUUCUGCGUUGUAAACUGCUUUUGAUCGGGAAGAAAGCGUCUUUGCGAAGACAGUUGACGGUACCGAUAGACUCAGCACCGGCUAACUCCGUUCCAGCAGCCGCGGUAACACGGAGGGUGCAAGCGUUGUUCGGAUUUAUAGGGUUUAAAGGGUGCGUAGGCGGGUAGGUAAGUCAGUGGUGAAAGGCAGCGGCUCAACCGUUGAGUUGCCGUUGAUACUGCCAGUCUUGAGUGCACUAGAGGUAAGUGGAAUUUAUGGUGUAGCGGUGAAAUGCAUAGAUACCAUAAAGAACACCAAUAGCGAAGGCAGCUUACUAGAGUGUAACUGACGCUGAGGCACGAAAGCGUGGGGAGCGAACAGG